GGAGGAGGAGGAAGCAGUAGAGAAGGGCUGACAGCAGAAACGUGUAAGAUCAUAACGAGGUUGCCUGCUGAGGUGAGGUAAGCAGAUGGCGGGGCAUGGGAGGGCUGGCGAAAGGGUCGUUCCUACUCCUCCUCCUCUCUCUCCAGCGUCUCUCAUGGGGCAGCACAGCAAAACAAAGUAUAGCAAAACAUAGCAAAACGAAGUGCCCGAAGACUGGAAGGAAGCAUGACUGGAAGCAAAACAAGGUGCCCGAGGACUGGAAGGAAGCAUAACUGGAAGCAAAACGAGGUGCCCGAGGACUGGAAGGAAGCAUAACUGGAAGCAAAACGAGGUGCCCGAGGACUGGAAGGAAGCAUGACUGGAAGCAAAACGAGGUGCCCGAAGACUGGAAGGAAGCAUGACUGGAAGCAAAACGAGGUGCCCGAGGACUGGAAGGAAGCAUGACUGGAAGCAAAACGAGGUGCCCGAAGACUGGAAGGAAGCAUGACUGGAAGCAAAACGAGGUACCCGAGGACUGGAAGGAAGCAUGACUGGAAGCAAAACGAAGUGCCCGAAGACUGGAAGGAAGCAUGACUGGAAGCAAAACGAAGUACCCGAAGACUGGAAGGAAGCAUGACUGGAAGCAAAACGAAGUACCCGAAGACUGGAAGGAAGCAUGACUGGAAGCAAAACGAGGUGCCCGAGGACUGGAAGGAAGCAUGACUGGAAGCAAAACGAGGUGCCCGAGGACUGGAAGGAAGCAUGACUGGAAGCAAAACGAGGUACCCGAGGACUGGAAGGAAGCAUGACUGGAAGCAAAACGAAGUACCCGAGGACUGGAAGGAAGCAUGACUGGAAGCAAAACGAAGUGCCCGAGGACUGGAAGGAAGCAUGACUGGAAGCAAAACGAAGUGCCCGAGGACUGGAAGGAAGCAUGACUGGAAGCAAAACGAAGUACCCGAAGACUGGAAGGAAGCAUGACUGGAAGCAAAACGAAGUGCCCGAAGACUGGAAGGAAGCAUGACUGGAAGCAAAACGAAGUGCCCGAGGACUGGAAGGAAGCAUGACUGGAAGCAAAACGAGGUACCCGAGGACUGGAAGGAAGCAUGACUGGAAGCAAAACGAAGUACCCGAGGACUGGAAGGAAGCAUAACUGGAAGCAAAACGAAGUACCCGAGGACUGGAAGGAAGCAUAACUGGAAGCAAAACGAAGUACCCGAAGACUGGAAGGAAGCAUGACUGGAAGCAAAACGAGGUGCCCGAGGACUGGAAGGAAGCAUGACUGGAAGCAAAACGAGGUGCCCGAGGACUGGAAGGAAGCAUGACUGGAAGCAAAACGAAGUGCCCGAGGACUGGAAGGAAGCAUGACUGGAAGCAAAACGAGGUGCCCGAGGACUGGAAGGAAGCAUGACUGGAAGCAAAACGAGGUGCCCGAGGACUGGAAGGAAGCAUGA